UGGGGAAUAUUGCACAAUGGGCGCAAGCCUGAUGCAGCCAUGCCGCGUGUAUGAAGAAAGCCUUCGGGUUGUAAAGUACUUUCAGCGGGGAGGAAGGGAGUAAAGUUAAUACCUUUGCUCAUUGACGUUACCCGCAGAAGAAGCACCGGCUAACUCCGGGCCAGCAGCCGCGGUAAUACGGAGGGUGCAAGCGUUAAUCGGAAUUACUGGGCGUAAAGCGCACGCAGGCGGUUUGUUAAGUCAGAUGUGAAAUCCCCGGGCUUAACCUGGGAACUGCUUCGGAAACUGGCAAGCUUGAGUCUCGUAGAGGGGGGUAGAAUUCCAGGUGUAGCGGUGAAAUGCGUAGAGAUCUGGAGGAAUACCGGUGGCGAAGGCGGCCCCCUGGACGAAGACCGACGCUCAGGUGCGAAAGCGUGGGGAGCAAACAGG
rnacentral:rRNA from 1 species